rnacentral:tRNA from 1 species
UCCCUGGUUGUCCAGUGGUUAGGACUUGACAUUUUCAAUGAGGUGGCCUGGGUUCAGUCCCUGGUUAGGGAA